AUGGUUAAGUGACUAAGCGUAUACGGUGGAUGCCUUGGCAGUCAGAGGCGAUGAAGGACGUAGUAACUUGCGAAAAGCGUUGGCGAGCUAGUAACAAGCAUUUGAGCUAACGAUGUCCGAAUGGGGAAACCCACUCACAUAAGUGAGUAUCACAUACUGAAUACAUAGGUAUGUGAGGCAAACCCGGGGAACUGAAACAUCUAAGUACCCGGAGGAACAGAAAUCAACCGAGAUUCCCCUAGUAGCGGCGAGCGAACGGGGAUUAGCCCUUAAGUCUAUAGGGUGUUAGUGGAAUGAGUUGGAAAGCUCAGCGGCACAGGGUGAUAGCCCCGUACAUGAAAACUAACUAUAGAUGAAAACGAGUAGGACGGGACACGUGACAUCUUGUCUGAACAUGGGGGGACCAUCCUCCAAGGCUAAAUACUCCUGACUGACCGAUAGUGAACCAGUACCGUGAGGGAAAGGCGAAAAGAACCCCUGUGAGGGGAGUGAAAUAGAACCUGAAACCGUAUACGUACAAGCAGUGGGAGCGGUUCCAUUCUUCGGAAUAAGAGACCGUGACUGCGUACCUUUUGUAUAAUGGGUCAGCGACUUACAUUUUGUAGCGAGGUUAAGCGAAUAGCGGAGCCGUAGGGAAACCGAGUGUUAACUGCGCGUUUAGUUGCAAGGUGUAGACCCGAAACCCGGUGAUCUAUCCAUGGGCAGGUUGAAGGUUGAGUAACAUCAACUGGAGGACCGAACCGACUUAUGUUGAAAAAUGAGCGGAUGACUUGUGGAUGGGGGUGAAAGGCCAAUCAAACCGGGAGAUAUCUGGUUCUCCUCGAAAGCUAUUUAGGUAGCGCCUCGAGCGAAUACCAUU
rnacentral:rRNA from 1 species